UACAGAGGGUGCGAGCGUUGUUCGGAAUUAUUGGGCGUAAAGGGCUCGUAGGCGGUUUGUCGCGUCGGGAGUGAAAUCCACUGGCUUAACUGGUGGCUUGCUUUCGAUACGGGCAGACUGGAGGUAUGCAGGGGAGAACGGAAUUCCUGGUGUAGCAGUGAAAUGCGCAGAUAUCAGGAGGAACACCGGUGGCGAAGGCGGUUCUCUGGGCAUGUCCUGACGCUGAGGAGCGAAAGUGUGGGGAGCGAACAGG
rnacentral:rRNA from 1 species